UACGUAGGAAGCAAGCGUUGUUCGGAAUUACUGGGCGUAAAGAGCGUGUAGGUGGUGUCGUAAGUUUGGUGUGAAAUCUCCCGGCUUAACUGGGAGGGUGCGCCGAAGACUGCGAUGCUGGAGUAUGGGAGAGGAAAGCGGAAUUCCUGGUGUAGCGGUGAAAUGCGUAGAUAUCAGGAGGAACACCUGCGGUGUAGACGGCUUUCUGGACCAUUACUGACACUGAGACACGAAAGCGUGGGGAGCAAACAGG
rnacentral:rRNA from 1 species